rnacentral:rRNA from 1 species
UGCGUAGGCGUCCAGGAAAGUUAUUUGUUAAAGCCUCCGGCUUAACCGGAGAUAUGCAAGUAAAACUAUCUGGAUAGAGUUUAAGAGAGGAAAAUGGAAUUCCUGGUGUAGCGGUGACAUGCGUAGAUAUCAGGAGGAACAUCAAUGGCGAAGGCAGUUUUCUGGCUUAAAACUGACGCUGAGGCACGAAAGCGUGGGGAGCAAACAGGGUUAGAUACCCUGGUAGUCC